UUUUUUUCUUGGACUUUUACUGCAGUUUUCUGAAUGUUUCCAUCAGAUUUUUGAAUUUGCUGUCAUUUUUCCUGCUGUACUGAGAAACUCCUGAUGAUUUUCCUGUUAUUGUCACUGGAAUCCAAUGUUUCUGUUGUCCUCAUCAUCUCUUCUGGAAAUGGCAUUCUAUCAGUAAAUCUUGUUGGUGUGGACGCUGGAAAAAGCCCUUCAGUUCAUGUCAAAUCACUGUUUGUGCUCAUCUAGUCUGUAUGAUUUGGAAAAUAAAAACCUCAACCAAAUCAGGAGUGCUAUGAAUUCUUAGACUGAACACAAAUACAUGUUGAAACAUUUCUACCAGUUUGUGAGCAUCCCUAAAGAUGUAGGGGGUUAAGCCCCUCCCACAAGGAAGGUGACGGCAACACCAAUGUCACGUCUGGAUGAUGCAGAUGCCGACCAAUCACAAGAGACGGCAGCUCAACAGCUCCAGAACAAUAAGGAGGUCAACAGAGAUGUCUUUCAAGAAAAGACAACCACGCACACACACACACACACACACACACACACACACACACAAACAACAAACACACACACACACACACAAACAACAAACACACACGGGUUGGUUUUUCCACCAUUCUGGAGUUGCUGAAGGUGCAAGGCAGCUGUCUGGUGGGGGCUUACUGUUCAGCCCCCGCUCAACCCCGUGGACUUUAAUGCCCAUGGGGGGAACAACAGUGGCGCCCAGAAGGACGUGAUGUGAACGGCCUCCCUGCUCUGAACCGAAGCUGCGUUCUCUUGUCUGGUCCGUGAACAGACACCAUGUUUGACCCCAAAGGUGUUCAGGUCAUUACACGUGGCUCCAGGAGUCAUGGUCUACUUUGGAACUGAUGAAAGAGGAACCUCUGGAUUUGUUAUUGCACAACAUAAGACAGUGAGGAGUCUGAGAAAGAUUUAGAUUUACUGGGAAAAACAGAAACUGGUUUUAAAGAACGGACCUGAUAUCUUGACGGUUGUAAAGAAACAAACAAAAAAAACUCAAUCUCUGUAGGCGUUCUUCACACAUGGAACAAAGUUCUCUGUGAGCCCCGCCCACUUUGAGUCUGAUUUAAGGAUGAGACUCAGCCUCAACCAGCAGAACUUCAGCUUCAGCUGCUCUGUCUGGUCCUGCUCCAGACCGUCUUCAGAGGAAACAACUUCUCCCAGAAGUCUGAGGGAAGAAACUUUUCCUCCUUUUGCAACAAGCUCAGACGUUUGGCUUCAAGUCAACAACAACAUGUCAUACCUAGCACCAGUUAUCACUGUUGGUGGAGAAGGAGGACUCCCAUUCAGUUUUAUUGGUGCAGAAACUGGAGCUCUGCUUAAAAAGCUGGAUGUGUGGGUCGGACCAAACCAAGUGAGAUGUAUAACGCUCCAGAUGUCUGACGGUGCUCAAAAGACAUAUGGGACCGUAAAGAAAAGCGGGGAUAAAAUGGUGUCUUUCACUUUUGAGAAUGGAGACUAUUUUUCCUCUCUCACUCUUUGGCCCAACAAUGCUGGAGAUCACCUGGGUGCCAUUAAAUUUGAAACAACGAAAGGUCGAAUUUCUAAGGCCUGUAUGACAAGUGGAGAGCCUACAAGGUCACCAACACCAGUAGAUGUUGGCUCUGGAAUGUGUUUUGGAGUUCAGGGCAGGUCAGGAUCUGAAAUUGAUGCACUUGGGUUCAUGUUCAUCAAAGUUUCUUAGUGAACCGGUUCUAGAGGGCUAGAUGGUGAAACAACAACCUGUGUGGGUUCAGCUUCUUGAUGAGAACAGAAAUAAAUGUGUUUGACAGAAAUGAUUUCACCUUCUAGCCUCCAGACAAAGACAACAGCUAAUGAUAUCUGCUGUCAUGAAAAGGGUUUGGUUCUUUGAAACAAUCAGAUGACAUCUUUGAACAGAUGUGUUCAUGCUGCAUCUGUGGCUGAUGGGGACAAUCACCUCUUUGAUGGUUUCUCUUUGAUUUCUUCAUCUGGUUUGUGGUUUUUUCUUUGGACUUUUACUGCAGUUUUCUGAAUGUUUCCAUCAGAUUUUUGGAUUUGCUGUCAUUUUUCCUGCUGUACUGAGAAACUCCUGAUGGUUUUCCUGUUAUUGUCACUGGAAUCCAAUGUUUCUGUUGUCCUCAUCAUCUCUUCUGGAAAUGGCAUUCUAUCAGUAAAUCUUGUUGGUGUGGACGCUGGAAAAAGCCCUUCAGUUCAUGUCAAAUCACUGUUUGUGCUCAUCUAGUCUGUAUGAUUUGGAAAAUAAAAACCUCAACCAAA